rnacentral:lncRNA from 1 species
AUCAGUCAGAGCAAUUUAUUUGUAAGUACUGAGAAUGUUUAUCUCAAUAUUUCAGGUUUCUUUAUUAAUCAGGAGAGAGUUAAUCGAAGAGCCAUGCAGAGACUUCAAUAUUCUCCUUGAUGAUGUGUCCAUCACUGAGCUUAGUUUCGGAAAGGAGCUGCAGUUGAAGCCAAACAAGUUGCACAACAAGAGGCUCAACGAGCGGUGUUUGAUGUUGAAAGAGCUAAGCAAGAGCGUCAACCAAAAAUCCUGCAAGCAGAGGGAGAAGCUGAAGCUGCCAAAAUGAAAUCCUUUUUAACAAAAUAAGAUCAUAAUAAUCUGACUGUAACACAUUGAGUAUCGCACACCCGUAAAAUAUCCCUGCAAUUCAGUGGUUUUCGGAUGCUUUAGGUUUGAUAGUAUGAGGAGUGAAAAAGACAACACAACAGUAGAUAUCAUGGGUGGCGGUAGCCACCUCCGGACAAAGUCUAAACUCGACAACACUGGAAAGCGUCCAAACGAAAAAGGUGGCAGCCAACUAUAGACACACGUAACUCCCUUAUUCUGAAAAUUGAUUCGGUUCUAAUAUAGAAUACUUAAUUAUACAAAUCAGCGUGGAAACGCACGUUCCCUAAGCAUUCUUGUGACGGUAGAAACUAAUGCACCUUCAUGAAUUCUAAGGAACACCCUCAAUAAAUUAAGAGCAGAGAUUGGUGUGUGUAUACAGUAUAUAAUAUAUUCUUCGAUCAAUUUUUUUUUGGCCACCACAACCACCACUAAGUUUGGUUAGGAAUACACACCUGUAGUUGAAGCAAAACAGGUAAGUUUCCCAACUAUUUUUUAAAUCUCUCACCACCGUAGGUAAUUUUAAUUUUUUUUAAAAGAUUCUUCUGCAAGUAGAAAUAAGAGUGAGCAUGGCUUUAUAGUCACACAAUUCAGAUGCUGGGUGUAAAAAGGACAAUUCUCCGAUGUAAGCAUCCUAAAACCUCCGUGGCUAAUUUGUAACUCGGAGAAAUAUCUAAUGAGUGACUUCUCUGGAUUUUUUUCUAUAUCUAUGAGCAUUGUAAAAUUAUGAUGAAUAUUCUACAAAAAUUUCCAUGAAAUGCCAUGAUUUUAUAUCCUCAACAAUGUUAAGAUAGUUAGGUACCGCACUGAUAUGUUAGGUACUUAAAAUGGGGUACAUCCUUUAAAACCACGUUUAGCUGUUAUUUAGUAUGGUGGAUUUUCACACCCCCCCCCGCCGCCACGACACCACCGCCACCGCCGACGCCACCGUCAACGCCACCGCCGCCGCCACCGAGAGCGCCACCGCCACCCCCACCAUCGCACCCACCACCACCACCACCACCACCACUAAGUUUCGGAUAGGAAUAAACACCUGCUGUUGAAGCAAAACAGGUAAGUUUCCCAAUUAUUUUUUAAAUCUCUCAUCACCGUAGGUAAUUUUAAUCUAUUUUUAAAAGAUUCUUGUGCAAGUAGAAAUAAGAGUGAGCAUGGCUUUAUAGUCACACAAUUCAGAUGCUGGGUGUAAAAAGGACAACUCUCCGAUGUAAGCAUCCUAGACUCUCCGUGGCUAAUUUGUAACUCGGAGAAAUAUCUAAUGAGUGACUUCUCUGGAAUUUUUUCUAUAUCUAUGAGCAUUGUAAAAUUAUGAAGAAUAUUCAACAAAACUUUCCAUGAAGUGCCAUGAUUUUAUAUCCUCAACAACGUUAAGAUAGUUAAGUACCAUUGAUAUGUUAGGUUUCUUUAAACCAUCCUUUAAACCAUGUUAAGCUGUUAUUCAGUUUGGUGGAUUUUCACAAUCCCCCCCCCCCCCCGACACCACCGCCACCACCACCAACACCACCUCCGCCACCACCACCACCACUAAUUUUCGGAUAGGAGUAAACACCUGCAGUUGAAGCCAAACAGGUAAUUUUCCCAAGUAUUUUCUAAAAUCACCACCUCCACCACCACCGCCAUCGCCAACGCCACAGCCAUCCCCACCAUCACCCCCCCCCCCCCACCGUCACCCCCCCCACCAUCACCCACCCCUACCACCACCACCAACAUCACCUCCGCCACCACCACCACCACCAAGUUUCGGAUAGGAAUAAACACCUGCUGUUGAAGCCAAACAGGUAAGUUUCCCAACUAUUUUUUAAAUCUUUCAUCACCGUAAGUCAUUUUAGUUUUUUUAAAAGAUUCUUGUGCAAGUAGAAAUAAGAGUGAGCAUGGCUUUAAAGUCAUACAAUUCAGAUGCUGGGUGUAAAAAGGGCACCUCUCCGAUAAAAACAUCCUAGAAUCUCCGCGGCUAAUUUGUCUUUCGGAGAAAAAUCUAACCUGGCUCAUGUCGCCGGGACGGGAAAUGUCGCGAUCAUAGAGUACAAUAGAGUCGCAAUGUACUGGAGCGUCGAUGAAGUCAAUCUAUGAACGGGCCUUUCCGAGCCGCUUGUGCUCCGAAAAGUGUGAACCAAGUGUGAACCCACGGCACUUAUUAUCAUGGUGGCUUAUGGAGGAAUCAAGAGCUGUUUUUGUUUUUUCGACAUUUUUUAUUCAAUCAGCAUUAAUUUUUGCAAAUUUUGCUAUAAACAGGUAGUCAAUGCCAUAGUGAAUCCAUUAAUGUAUCAUACUGUUGAAUAAUGUUCAAAAAGGGACGUAAAUUGAGACUUGGAGAGACUUGGUAAAUUGAGAUUUUGGAGGAGAUUUAGUUGUGUUUUUCGGAUCGGCAGCUGGUUGCCAGGCGACCGGACACUGUAUCCAGACAGUUUGGGAACAUCAGACAUACCCAACUGAUCAUGAUGAUGUCUGCACGAUCUGUAAAAAGUGGUCAAGGAAGCCAGGGAUCAGCUCAACUCUAAUGAAACAGAGGAGGAGAUAAAACAAGUAUUCGAAGGGUCUUGUAAACUGAUAUACAUCAAACCAAUUGUUGCAGAAUGCAUCAAGAUUGUUGACGAUAUCGCUUCUCAGCUCAUCAAUGCCUUGUCCUCCCGGAUGGACCCCAACACUGUUUGCUCUGUUGUUGGACUCUGCAACAACGCAAGAAUCAACAAAUUACUGGAAGAAAAUAAAGAGACUGAGAUCAAAUCACCUGAUCUCUUGCAUGAUCUAAUGACCCAAGAUAGUCAGUGGUAGGAGUGCACCAACUGUGUAUAUGUCAUGAGCAAAUUUCGCAACAACCUAGCUGAAACCCCUAAGUCAUCUUCUGGAAGUCACCUCUAAUAUCCU